rnacentral:lncRNA from 1 species
AAUGUUGAAUGUAAUUAACAGUUGUUGACUAUAAAUAACAUAUGUUGAAUGUAAUUGACAGUUGUAUUCUUUAUUUUUAGUCAAAGGGGUUAAUUUUUUUCUAUGUUAAUUUAUUUUUAGUCCACAUAGAAAUCAAUAUAUCCUUAACAGUUUUUAUUUUCUUUCAGAUUAUAUAUUGAUCAUUUCCACAUAUCAUCAUCAAUGUCGUUGUCGUCAUCAGCAUCUUUAUUAAAAAAAAGUUUAAUUUUUAACAUUUUCAUCAUUUUUUGGAAGGGACAAAACAAAAAAAAAUAAUAAAAAAAAAUAAUAAUAAACAAAAAAAAUUUUGAAUUCAAUUUUUUAGAACAAAUAAGCAGUGUGUCAUAGAACGCCAACUUAUAUGUUUUAGAAAACAUUGGGAGUAAGAUUCAUAUAUAUCUAAUUAUAUAAAGUACACUUUGUUUCACUCUUAGGCUGUCCACCUCAGCAGACAGGUCAGAAAUUCAAGUCUUCUGGUCAUGACACGUGUACCGCUUAACCAAAACGCAUCACUUCAUUUUAUUAAAAUCUGAUGGGCUUUGUUCGCUACAGAAUCUGAAUCCACCAACUGGACUUGCGUUUUGUGUUAUUUACGUUUGUUAUAUUUGGAUUUUUAUGGUUUUCAACUGGGCUUUGUCUUACAUUUAUUUGGGCUGAUA